rnacentral:rRNA from 1 species
UCGCCUGUUUAUCAAAAACAUGUCCUUAUGAUAAUAAUUUAAGGUCUGACCUGCCCACUGAAUUUAAUUUGAAGGGCCGCGGUAUUUUGACCGUGCAAAGGUAGCAUAAUCAUUAGUCUUUUAAUUGGAGGCUGGAAUGAAUGGUUGGACGAGGCAUUGACUGUCUCAGUAUAAGUGUUUUAGAAUUUAACUUUUAAGUCAAAAGGCUUAAAUUUAUUUAAAGGACGAGAAGACCCUAUAGAGCUUUAUAAUUAAUAAUUAUAAUUUAUUUAGUAGAACUUAUGUUGUAGUUUGUCUAUUUUGUUGGGGUGACAGGAAGAUAAAUAAAACUCUUUUUAAUAUUUGACCAUUGAUUUAUGAAUUGUUGAUCCAUUAUUAGUGAUUAUAAGACUAAGUUACCUUAGGGAUAACAGCGUAAUUUUUUUUGAGAGUUCUUAUCGACAAAAAAGGUUGCGACCUCGAUGUUGGAUUAAGGGUAAUUUUGGGUGUAGAUGUUCAAAGUUUAGGUCUGUUCGACCUUUAGAUCCUUACAUGAUCUGAGUUCAAACCGGAGA